rnacentral:rRNA from 1 species
UCUGAAUAUGGGGGGACCAUCCUCCAAGGCUAAAUACUCCUGACUGACCGAUAGUGAACCAGUACCGUGAGGGAAAGGCGAAAAGAACCCCUGUGAGGGGAGUGAAAUAGAACCUGAAACCGUGUACGUACAAGCAGUGGGAGCCCUUCGGGGUGACUGCGUACCUUUUGUAUAAUGGGUCAGCGACUUACAUUUUGUAGCGAGGUUAACCGUAUAGGGGAGCCGUAGGGAAACCGAGUCUUAACUGGGCGUCUAGUUGCAAGGUGUAGACCCGAAACCGGGUGAUCUAGCCAUGGGCAGGUUGAAGGUUGAGUAACAUCAACUGGAGGACCGAACCCACUAACGUUGCAAAGUUAGGGGAUGACCUGUGGCUGGGGGUGAAAGGCCAAUCAAACUCGGAGAUAGCUGGUUCUCCCCGAAAGCUAUUUAGGUAGCGCCUCGGACGAAUACUACUGGGGGUAGAGCACUGUUUGGGCUAGGGGGUCAUCCCGACUUACCAACCCCAUGCAAACUCCGAAUACCAGUAAGUAAUAUCCGGGAGACACACGGCGGGUGCUAACGUCCGUCGUGAAGAGGGAAACAACCCAGACCGCCGGCUAAGGUCCCAAAGUUCUGGUUAAGUGGGAAACGAUGUGGGAAGGCUCAGACAGCUAGGAUGUUGGCUUAGAAGCAGCCAUCAUUUAAAGAAAGCGUAAUAGCUCACUAGUCGAGUCGGCCUGCGCGGAAGAUGUAACGGGGCUCAAACCAGGCACCGAAGCCGCGGAUUCACGCUAAGCGUGAGUGGUAGGGGAGCGUUCUGUAAGUCUGCGAAGGUGUGUCGAGAGGCAUGCUGGAGAUAUCAGAAGUGCGAAUGCUGACGUAAGUAACGAUAAAGGGGGUGAAAAGCCUCCUCGCCGGAAGACCAAGGGUUCCUGUCCAACGUUAAUCGGGGC